rnacentral:rRNA from 1 species
CUGAUCCAGCAAUGCCGCGUGUGUGAAGAAGGCCUUCGGGUUGUAAAGCACUUUUGUCCGGAAAGAAAUCCUUGGCUCUAAUACGGUGGGGGGAUGACGGUACCGGAAGAAUAAGCACCGGCUAACUACGUGCCAGCAGCCGCGGUAAUACGUAGGGUGCGAGCGUUAAUCGGAAUUACUGGGCGUAAAGCGUGCGCAGGCGGUUUGCUAAGACCGAUGUGAAAUCCCCGGGCUCAACCUGGGAACUGCAUUGGUGACUGGCAGGCUAGAGUAUGGCAGAAGGGGGUAGAAUUCCACGUGUAGCAGUGAAAUGCGUAGAGAUGUGGAGGAAUACCGAUGGCGAAGGCAGCCCCCUGGGCCAAUACUGACGCUCAUGCACGAAAGCGUGGGGAGCAAACAGGAUUAGAUACCCUGGUAGUCCACGCCCUAAACGAUGUCAACUAGUUGUUGGGGAUUCAUUUCCUUAGUAACGUAGCUAACGCGUGAAGUUGACCGCCUGGGGAGUACGGUCGCAAGAUUAAAACUCAAAGGAAUUGACGGGGACCCGCACAAGCGGUGGAUGAUGUGGAUUAAUUCGAUGCAACGCGAAAAACCUUACCUACCCUUGACAUGGUCGGAAUCCUGCUGAGAG